rnacentral:rRNA from 1 species
GAUGAACGCUGGCGGCGUGCCUAAUACAUGCAAGUCGAGCGAACAGAUGAGGAGCUUGCUCCUCGGACGUAAGCGGCGGACGGGUGAGUAACACGUGGAUAACCUACCUAUAAGACUUGGAUAACUUCGGGAAACCGGAGCGAAUACCGGAUAAUAUAUUGAACCGCAUGGAUCAAGAGUGAAAGACGGUGUUGCUGUGACUAAUAGAUGGAUCCGCGCCGCAUUAGCUAGUUGGUAAGGGAACGGCUUACCAAGGCAACGAUGCGUAGCCGAUCUGAGAGGGUCGUCGGCCACACUGGAACUGAGACACGGUGCAGACUCCGGCGGGAGGACGCAGUCGGGAAUCCUACGGAAUGGGGGAAAGCCUGACGGAGCAAAGCCGCGUGAGUGAUGAAGGUCUUCGGAUCGUAAAACUCUGUUAUUAGGGAAUAACAAAUGUGUAAGUAACUAUGCACGUCUUGACGGUACCUAAACAGAAAGCCACGGCUAACUACGUG